rnacentral:rRNA from 1 species
GACGAACGCUGGCGGCGUGCUUAACACAUGCAAGUCGAACGGUAAGGCCCUUCGGGUACACGAGUGGCGAACGGGUGAGUAACACGUGGGUGAUCUGCCCUGCACUUCGGGAUAAGCCUGGGAAACUGGGUCUAAUACCGGAUAGGACCAUGGACUUCACGGUUUGUGGUGGAAAGCUUUUGCGGUGUGGGAUGGGCCCGCGGCCUAUCAGCUUGUUGGUGGGGUAAUGGCCUACCAAGGCGACGACGGGUAGCCGGCCUGAGAGGGUGUCCGGCCACACUGGGACUGAGAUACGGCCCAGACUCCUACGGGAGGCAGCAGUGGGGAAUAUUGCACAAUGGGCUCAAGCCUGAUGCAGCGACGCCGCGUGAGGGAUGACGGCCUUC